CAACUGAUCCUCAUCCUUGAUGCCCACAAACUUGUCCACCACGUCCCCAUUCUUCAUGGCCAGCACAGUGGGCACCGCUGACACCUGGGUGGAGAGGACAAGGGGGUCCAAGUGAAUUGGGAGUGAAUACUUCUCAACUGCCACUCCUGAGCCUUUGUGGGGAAGGCUGGUGGCUUAUCCAGGGCACUGACUUCCCAAAGCCAUGGGCAGGCCUAGAGGAACAUGGCUCUUCUCUCGGUGCAGGGGUACUGCAGGGCCCGGGGGCCACCCGCUGAAGAAACGUCUUCCAUUGCGGGCUCCCAACAGUACCCUUCCUCCCUUAACCACAAGACUGACUCACUGGCCCAGUGGUUUUGCUGGAAUGACAGGAGAGAUGAAAAUAACCCUUGCAGCUGCAGGCCAGGGCUGGGGGCAGGGAGGAGCUCAGGGGAAGCCUGGCCCAGGAGGAGACAGAAGCUGGGGGACAGUUCGAGUCCUGGCUUUGCACUCACUAGCAAGGGGGCCUUGGCCGGGUCACAGCACCUUUCUGAGCCUCAGUGUCCUUUUCCAUAAAAUGGGGGUAAUGUCUACCUUUAGGGUUUGGGAUGAACAUUAAAGAUUCAAGUAUAGGCUGGGCACAGUGGCUUAUAUCUAUAAUCCCAGCCUUCUGGGAGACUGAGGCUGGAGGAUUGCUUGAGUUCAAGAGUUCCAGACCAGCUUGGGCAAUAUAGUGAGACCCUUUGUUUACUAAACCCCCCCAAAAUAUUAGCCAGGCAUGGUGGUACAUGCCUGUACUCCCAUACUCGGGAGGCUGAGGCAGGAGGAUCGCUUGAGCCUGGGAGACUGAGGCUUCAGUGAGCUGUGAUUGUGCCACUGCACUCCAGCCUGGGUGACAGAGACCCUGCCUCAAAAAAAAAGAGAAAGAUUUGAGUAUAAAGCAGAGCUCAGGCUGGGCGCGGUGGCUCACACCUGUAAUCCCAGCAUUUUGGGAGGCUGAGGUGGGCAGAUCAUUUGAGGUCAGGAGUUCGAGACCAGCCUGGCCAACAUGGUGAAACCCUGUCUCUACUGAAAAUACAAAAAUUAGUCGGGCAUGGUGGCAGGCACCUGUAAUCCCACCUACUUGGGAGGCUGAGGUGAGAGAAUUGCUUGAACCUGGGAGGUGGAGGCUGGAGUCAGUGGAGAUUGCACCACUGCACUCCAGCCUGGGUGACAGAGUGAGACUCCAUCUCAUAAAUAAAUAAAUAAAUAAAUAAAUAAAUACAUAAAUAAAGCAGAGCUCAGGUUCUGGCGGACGCAAUCCGGCUCCUACCAGCCAGGUGAGCUGGGGCACGCCCCUCAGUCACUAAGCCUCAGUGUUCUCAGAUGCAGGAUGGAGAUACUAAGGGCACUGCCAUUAGAGGGCAUGAAAGCUGAAUGAAAUAACGCAAGUAAAGGCUCAGCACAGCGCCCGGCAAAUAAGCUUAGGAACCUGGCAUUGUGCCUGGCAUACUGUGGGCAUUCAAAAAACAGUGGCUACAGAGGGCACAAGGAAAAGUCCAACACAGGCCCCACGAGAGCACAUUAGCUUGCUGCUGUGAUGAGUGACAGGGUCCAGAAACUCAGGGACUUCUACUGGACAGCAUGAGAGGAGAGGCUUGGCCAUACACAACCUGACGCUUAUUAGCAGGUUGCAGGCAGAUGGCAAGGACAACAUUCUUGGUCUGUGAAGCAUUUACUCAGUUCCCUCAGGGACCUGCAUAGGUUAUGUGGAACGUGGAUGAGGCUGUGGCCCACCAGACUGGCAUUGUGAGGUCUCUGCUGCCUGGGAUCCCUGCCUGGCAUUCGUGGGCAUUUGAGAAAACCAUUUAAACAGAACAAGAUAGGCCGGUCGCUGUGGCUCACGCCUGUAAUCCUAGCAUUUUGGGAAGCCAAAGCGGGCAGAUCACUUGAGGUCAGGAGUUCGAGACCAGCCUGACCAACAUGGUGAAACCCCGUCUCUACUAAAAAUACAAAAAUUAGCCGGGCGUGGUGGGGCAUGCCUAUAGUCCCAGCUACUCGGGAGGCUGAGGCAGGAGAAUCGCUUGAACCCGGGAGGCAGAGGUUGCACUGAGCUGAGAUUGUGCCAUUGCAUUCCAGCCUGGGCGACAGAGCAAGACUCUGUUCCCCCCCUCAAAAUAAAUAAAUAAAAAUAAACAGAACAAGAUAAACACAGACUUUUCUUACAUACAAAUUAAACUACAAAGUAAGAGCAGAGAUUCACACAAACAUACCAGGUCUUCACAUAUCCCAGUGCUGCCCUGCCACGGCCCAUCUUGGAAGCCAGUAAGAUUCAGAAUGUUCAAAAACCAUGCACAUGGUAGUUAGGAAAGGCACGCAGGCCAGACCAUCCCGCCCUCACCCACUAACUUUACGUGGCAGGCCCUGCACCCCACUCCUCACGGACACUUUGGGGACAAACACAGCAGGUCACAGGACACAGUCCUUGUCCUUGUUAGUGCCUCAGGCCCCUUCAAAGGCUGUCCCUGGGCUGAUGUGGGUGGCAAACCCUGUCUCCAGGCAGAGCAGGGCCCGAAAGAGUUUGCUCCAGGAAGCGCCUGAAGCCACCAGGGCCUUCCCAGGCAUUCUUUGGUGCCCUCUAGUGGUCUGCAAAGGCAGCUGGAGUGCCUCAAAGCCGGAGCCUCUUGGCAGAAGCAGAGAGCUCAGCCACCGGCUCCCACCUGCACACUGUCCUAUUCCUUUAAUUAAAAUAUAUGCUUUAUGCCACUGUAUAAGAAGUGGCCUAACUUUUUUCACGGCAAGACUCUAAGUUCACUGAAGAGGCUCAGAGAGUGGACUUAGCGUUCCUUAAGAACUCCAGAUAGGCACAAGCACAGUGGCUCACACCUGUAAUCCCAAGUACUUUGGGAGGCCAAGGCAGGAGGACUGCUUGAGGUCAGGAAUUCAUGACCAGCCUGGGCAACAUAGCAAGACGUCGUCUCCAUAAAAAUAUUAAAAAAAAAAAAAAAGAACUCCAGAUGAAGGCCAUAAUGAUCUCACUCAUGUAAACCUCCACACAUGCUUGAACACGCACAGACCCUGCUGGUGUCAGGUAGACAGCAGAUGUGCUGUCAAUGGAGGUCUGGUCACUACUGAUCAAGGGGAUAUUUUGAAGUUGAGCUUAAACACACACACGCAUACACACAUAUAUACACACACACACAUACACACUACCCGCACUAGGGGCUCACAGGAAACCUGAGCUGGAAUGGGACUUCCCUCGACCCUGAGGAGGCGGCUGAAGCUCUGCUGCUCCUGUGUCUGGCUCACACAUCAGGAGGUGCCGGUGCCUGUAAACACUGCCUUACAUGGAAGUGCACAGGGCCUUGGCACAUUCUUCUGGAAUGUUUUGAGUGUGAAAGAGGCAGUGACUGAGCCAACUGAGGGGCUGAGGAAAAGAUACGCUACGACGUGUUGCCUGUCCUGUUCCGUGAAGCCACUUGGAACCUCCUAUCCUUGGAUAAAGACCCUCUGAACUCGGCAGGAGUGGGGGAGUGUGUACGUGUGCGCAGUCUCUUUCUGCUAACCCGUAGCUCGCCUGCACCGCCACUGAGCUCCGUGUCCUGUCCAGGGGAUCAAACUCUGUUGUGCUUCUGCCCAGCAGCAAAGAGAGAGAGACAUCUACUGAGUCCCAGCAGGGGGAAGAACGUGGGGACGCAUUAAAGGAUUUCAUGCUUCAAAUGCAAAAUGCCAAGUGCUUUGUAAAAGCUUUUAGAUAUGAGAGGGUUCUUGGAAAAACGAUUAUUGAAAAAAUGAACUACAUAACAUUCUGGCAGAAUUAGGUAGACAGUGAAAAGAUCAAGAGUCGCCAGGCCUGGAGGGAGGAGGAAGGAGAGAUGAACAGGCAGAGGAGAGAGGACAUGGAGGCAGUGAAAUGACUCUGGAUGAUGCUAGAAUGUGGACACCGGCUAUGACACAUUUGUCCAAACCCACAGCAGGCACAACACCAAGAGUGAUCCCCUAUGUAAACUUUUGGCUUUGGGGGAUAAUGAUGUCCGUGUAGGUUCAUAAGUUGUGACAAAUGGACCACCCUGGUAUGGGCUGUUGAUAGUGUGGGAGGCUGGGCAUGCGGGAGGACAGGGGACUUAUGGGAAGUCUCUGUACCUUCCCCUUCCUCUCAAUUUUGCCACGAACCUAAAACUGCCCUAAAAACAUAAAAUCCUCAAAAAGAACAACAACAAAAAAUGAGAUCAGUGACUGCUGGGGGGUUAAGGGGGUGAGGGGCAGGAAGGAGAGGUGAACUGCUGGAAAACAGGGGAACCGAGGGCGGUGGAACGGUUCUGUAUGGCGCUGGAAUGGUGGACACAUGCCAUUAUACAUUUGUCCAUGAACUUUCUCACUGGCAAGCAGUCUGUGCUGAGAGCGGCAGCUGAGACACGGCCUUCCAAAGAGCAGUUCCUCCCCACAGAAAGUCAGUCCGGGGCCUUCAGAACCAGAAAGUCAAUCUGGGGCCUUCAGAAUGAAAAAGUCAGUAUGGGGCCUUCAGAACAUUGGCUUCUCUCCAUGUCGGCUCAGGACACCCAGCCCUGGCAUUACCUGGGAGCUUGUUAGAAAUGCAGUCUUGGUGGCCGGGCGCGGUGGCUCAUGCCUGUAAUGCCAGCACUCUGGGAGGCCGAGGUGGGCGAAUCACUUGAGGUGAGGAGUUUGAGACCAAUCUGGUCAACAUGGUGAAACCCCAUCUCUACUAAAAAUACAAAAAUUAGGCCAGGUGUAGUGGCUCACGCCCGCAAUCCUAGCACUUUGGGAGGCCGAGGCGGGCUGAUCACCUGAUGUCAGGAGUUUGAGACCAGCCUGGCAAACAUGGUAAAACCUUGUCUCUAUUAAAACUACAAAAAUUAGCUGGGCGUGGUCGUGGGCACCUGUAAUCCCAGCUACUCGGGAGGCUGAGGCAGGAGAAUCGCUUGAACCUGAGAAGCGGAGGUUGCAGUGAACCGAGAUCGUGCCAUUGCACUCCAGCCUGGGCGACAGAGCGAGACUCCAUCUCAAAAAAGAAAAAGGAUUUUAGGCCUUAAAGAAAGCCAUCAUGGGGGGCACUGUAGUUCUCUCAGAGGAAACUUCUUCCUCAGGCUCUCUUCAGAAAGAAAAGAGGAAGGAAGGAAAGAAGGAAGGGAGGGAGAGAGGGAGGGGGUCAGGAAGAACCCUGGCUGGAGCUUCCUAAACCCUGCAAUGAUGUCAGACCAGGGUUUGGCUAAACAACACGGCUGAGACCAAGUGAUGUGGGCCUAGCAGCCUUGAGGCCUUUCUGUGUGACAGCACAGUCCCCAGGCAGUGGACAGGGCGGGAGCGGUGGGUGUGGGGGGAGAUUGAGAGGAUUCCACAGGAGGCAUCUCCUUCUCACUUCCCAGGCUUCACCGCAGGCCUUCAGUGCCCACUCCCACAACAGCCUCCCGGGGACGGUCCUCGGCAUUCCCGCCACCCCACGAGACACUGGAGCAGGGCCUGUGGGCUUCUUUGCAUCUGCAGUAGUUACCAUAGUCCCUGCACAUGGCUGGCCCUCAGGGGGUGUCUGCUGAAGAGUUAUGAAUACAUUGGCUGAAGCUGAAGCUGUAGUGUCUGGCAGAGCCAGGAGGCCUGAGACAUCUGAAGCCCACGCGUGACCUGUGGGAGGCCCUAGGAGCCCCAGCCCGGGCUCUCACCCGAGGCAUAGCCAGGCAGGGGAAAGCCAGGGGCAUCCAAAUGGGCAGAUAGAUGCCUCCCUCACUGAGCAAUCAGUGGCCAAACUUUUUGAAAAAGUGACUCACCCCUCCCCCAGCCCCUGUAAACAGCCCUCAGUUCCUAACUCCCAAAGCAGGCCUGCUCCAGUGGUCACCUGUAGUGGCCACCGUGUUUGUCUGCCUGGUCUCCAUCUCCCCUGCUUCUGGUCAUUGCAGACUGAUGUUCCUUUGGGUAAUCACUCCCCACUCCCUGCGUAGCUCAAGGGGCGGCCAGCCUGUUCUCACCCCGCUCCCAACCACCCAUUUCUUGCUGCAGGAGACUGGUUCAGGGAUGGGUGCCUCUAUUUGAGCUGGUCUAGUAAGAGUGAAACCUGGACUUGUAUACUCUGAGGAAUAAAGCGGCCUCUUUCAUUCACUUGUUACCUGGAGGAGGAAGGAGGGAGGGGUGAAGGCUCACUCCGGCCAGGUUAAGAUAUUUCAAGAAAAUCAGAUAUCGAGAUUUUCACAUGAAAUCUGAGUUUCAAAUAUCAGCAUCUGCUUCCUAUUACUUUAAAAUACUUCGAGUGCCAGACUAAAAGUGUCUGUGAGCCAGGUUGGGCCCAGAGGCUGCCAGGAGCGCCCUCGGCUCUGUAACAGCGCUACCUUCAGCAUGGCUAUUCAGAGACCCUCCCAAUCCGGCUGCAUUAUGCUUUCCCCAGCUCCGUACUCGGCCCUUCACUCUGGCCACCCAGACAAAGUGGGCCUCUCCCCUUUCUCCAGGUAGUGGUCUCCAAGGCCCAGAGGAAGCCCCCAACCCAGACACCUCCAGGCACCUGGCCCCUGCUGGUCUGUAAGCAACCCAGGCUCAUCAGACCUCAGGGCUUUUGCUUUGCCUGAAUUGUUCUUCCAAAGACCCACAUGCUUCAGUCACUCCCUUCCUGUUUUUGCCCAAAGGUCAGCUUAUCAGGGAGAUCUACCCUAUCCCACCCUUUAAAAAAGAAACCCGCUGGGCGCGGUGGCUUACGCCUGUAAUCCCAGCACUUUGGGAGGCCAAGGCAGGUGGGUCACCCGAGGUCAGGAGAUCAAGACCAGCCUGGCUAACAUGGUGAAACCUCAUUUCUACUAAAAAUACAAAAAAUUAGCCGGCGUGGUGGCGCGUGCCUGUAAUCUCAGCUACUCCGGAGGCUGGGACAGGAGAACUGCUUGAACCCGGGAGGCAGAGGUUGCAGUGAGCCGAGAUUGUGCCACUGCACUCCAGCUUGGGCAACAAGAGCAAAACUCUGUCUCGAAAAAACAAAAACCCUGCCUCAUACGCAGUACUCCCAUCCUCUCUUCCUGAUGUAUUUUUCUCCAUUGAACUUAUUAUCUAAAACAGGGGUCAGCAAACUAUAGUUCACAGGCCCAAUACAGCCUACUGCUUGUUUUUGUAAAUAAAGUUUUAUUGUAACACAGCCAUGCCCAUUUGUUUGUAUAGUGUCUAUGGCUGCUUUCGGCUACGAGCCCAGCUGAAUGGUUGUAGCAGCGACCACUGCCCUGCAAUGCUUCCAAUACCAACCAGUCCUUUAGAGAAAAAGUUUGCUGACCCUUGAUUUAAAAUACUAGAAUGUAGACUCCACGGAGGCAGAGAUUUUGUCAGUUUUGUUCACUGCCUUAUCCUCAACACCAAGUAACACUACCUGGCACUUGAGGGACUCUCAAAUAUCUGCUGAAUAAACAGACAAACCAACCAACCAAGUGAGACGACUCCAUGUCUUUGUGCACGCUGUUUCCUCAGCCCUUCCUCCUCCUCUGCGCAUCCCUCAUGGCUCAGCUCAGAGGUUCUCUCUAACGUGAAGCAUUCCCUGUCCCCUCCAGCUCCCCCACAAGCAAACAGUCCCUUCUUCCUUUAUGCGCCUCUUCUUUUAGCACUUCUAUAUUGAGAUGAUCUUUCUACCUGCUGUUCUCUCCUGCUAGACUAGGAGAGAUCUUGCUUGGAAACAAGAUCUCAUCUUGUGUCAGAAUCACAAAUGCUUGGCACAUCGAGCUCCCAAAUGACUGCUCACUGAACAUGUGGGUAGAUGGAUAAAGGAAUGUACCAAUGUCUGAGACUAAGUGAAUGACCUGGUGUUUUUGGGUCAUACGAUCUACUUCCUAAAGGUGGUGAAGAGAGACAGGUGGCUCAGAGGAUCAAGAGCCACCUCUGCAAAGUGCUCUGAGCUCUUAAAAGCUCUCGAAAAACCGGCUGGGCGCAGUGGCUCAUGCCUGUAAUCCCAGCACUUUGGGAGGCCAAGGUGGGUGGAUCAUAAGGUCAGGAGUUCCAGACCAGUCUGGCCAACAUGGUGAUACCCUGUCUCUACUAAAAAUACAAAAAAUUAGCUGGGCGUGGUGGUGUGCGCCUGUAGUCCCAGCUACUUGGGAGGCUGAGGCAGGAGAAUCGCGUGAACCCGGGAGGCAGAGGUUGCAAUGAGCCGAGAUCAUGCCAUUGCACUCUAGCCCAGGUGACAGUGAGAGAUUCCGUCUCAAAAAAAAAAAGCUCUGGAAAAACCAAGACACCUUGCUUACUGGCUACCUGUGCUCCCCAAGAUACCUCCUACACCAGCUAUCCCUGGGCCUGACACCUCCUAUACUGGCUUCCCUGUGGCAACUCCCUGUCAAUCCAUACCUCAUACUCAAUGGCGAGGUCUGUGUGGUCAUCAAUAUCCACCUUGGCCAUCACCACCUUCCCGUGCUGCUUGGCCACCAUCUUCUCUAACCUCGGCCCCAGGAUCUUGCAGGGUCCACACCACCUCAAAAGGCGAGAAAGGAAGCAUCCAGUCAGUCAAAAGAGCGCUCAGCAUCCCCUACUGGCUUCCCAGACCUGCAUCUUUCCAAGGAAUCUUUUGCCCUUAUUAUCUCUGUUUACCAUGUUUAAAAAUUAACACACCAAAUGGUAAUGCCAGGAGAUUCUGCACAUGGGAAAUCUUCACAGAUCCCAGACUUUUAAAACACAGGCCUCAUCAGAAGACUCAUAAUAAAAGUGACUCAUUUCAGUAUAUCUCAGAUAAAUAUACUGUCAUAUAAAAGGAUAUGGGAUUGGAAGUUAAAAGGUUCAAACAGAGGCUUCUCACCAACCAGCUGAUUAUUCUGGGGCCCUAGUUUCCUUUUUUUCUUUUUUUGAGACGGAGUCUCGCUCUAUCCCCCAGGCUGGAGUGCAGUGGCGCGAUCUCGGCUCACUGCAAGCUCCGCCUCCCUGGUUUACGCCAUUCUCCUGCCUCAGCUUCCUCAGUAGCUGGGACUACAGGUGCCUGCCAACA
rnacentral:lncRNA from 1 species